rfam:Pan troglodytes isolate Yerkes chimp pedigree #C0471 (Clint) chromosome 7, whole genome shotgun sequence.
UAUUAGGUUGGUGCAAAAGUAAUUGAGGGUUUUGCCAUUACUUUUAAUGGCAAAAAAGUACUUUUAAUGGCAUUAAAAGUAAUGGCAAAACCCGCAAUUACUUUUGCACCAACCUAAUA